GUUCUUGUUUCAACAGCACACAUACUAAGACUGGAAUGAUACAGAGAAGAUUAGCUCAGCCCCUGAGCAAGAAUGACAUGCAAUUUCAUGAAGGAUUACAUUAAAAA
rnacentral:snRNA from 1 species